GAUGAACGCUGGCGGCGUGCCUAAUACAUGCAAGUCGAGCGAACGGACGAGAAGCUUGCUUCUCUGAUGUUAGCGGCGGACGGGUGAGUAACACGUGGAUAACCUACCUAUAAGACUGGGAUAACUUCGGGAAACCGGAGCUACUACCGGAUAAUAUUUUGAACCGCAUGGUUCAAAAGUGAAAGACGGUCUUGCUGUCACUUAUAGAUGGAUCCGCGCUGCAUUAGCUAGUUGGUAAGGUAACGGCUUACCAAGGCAACGAUGCAUAGCCGACCUGAGAGGGUGAUCGGCCACACUGGAACUGAGACACGGUCCAGACUCCUACGGGAGGCAGCAGUAGGGAAUCUUCCGCAAUGGGCGAAAGCCUGACGGAGCAACGCCGCGUGAGUGAUGAAGGUCUUCGGAUCGUAAAACUCUGUUAGUAGGGAAGAACAUAUGUGUAAGUAACUGUGCACAUCUUGACGGUACCUAAUCAGAAAGCCACGGCUAACUACGUG
rnacentral:rRNA from 1 species